AUUCCUCUCAACCACCGGAAGGUUGUUUUUGCCUCACCGAAGAAGUAUUCCUCAGAAGUUGUUGAGUUUGACAAUCCGUGCUCCCUGCUCUUCCAAUCUUCCCAAUGAAGUUCCUGGUAUUCCUUGUGUUGAUUUGUGCCUCUACUAUCCUGGUCUUUUGUUUGCUGAGAUUGUUGAGAUGGUACUCGGGAAGUUCAUAGAUGGUUAUAACUUUAUAUCCAGAAGAAGAGGACUCAAUUUGUAAACCUCCUUACUUUUUAUUCAUUUGUAGGUGUCAUGAUUAUUCUCUGUAGUUUUAUAAGGUAGAUUCAUAUUUUCUUAUAAGAUAUGUCAAGGAUUCUGUGAACCUGCCUGACUUAAUGAAAUAAGAUGUUUUUGGAUCUACUAUUUAGACUUCUCCACCUACCUUCAGUUUUAUUUUCUCUAACUAUUUACACUGAUGGCUGUAUCCUUCAUCUAUAACUUUCAUCUUAUU
ensembl:antisense